rnacentral:lncRNA from 1 species
CAGGGCACAGCCCAGCUGAGCCUCUCGGAGGAGGGAUGUGGGUUUGAAAGGCACAAUAAAGACUUUUCAAACCGCUGAGCGUGGUUUGUGUGGCACCUGAAAAUGUCACCAGGCAAUGAAAUGCCUGAAAUGCUGCCUGGGCCCUGCCAGGGGGGUUGCAAGGCACAGGUUUGGACCCCUUUCAGCCCAAGGAUUAAAGGAACGCGCUUUGAAAAAGAGAAAUGGAAAAGAAGCAGGAACUGGUACUUCCAGACUGGUACCAAAGAGAAUAUUGUGACUGAACAUCAGCUCUGCAAAACAAAAGGAGGUUGGCUGCAGUUUGAUUUAUGUGGAGAGACUCAGGCAAAUUCUGCACCAGCCACAACAUUCAUUAUGCAAAGGGAAAGCGCCGGGCUGCUAACACAGGGAGCUGGGAAAACACGGACCGGAUUCCUGCUGGAGUCCGGAAUGGAGUCGGCAAAAGUGAAAAUUUGGACUAGAUUUCUCCAAGGUUCCGGAAUGGAGUCGGAAAAAUGGAAAACCCGGGCAGGAUUCCAGCCGGAGUCUGGAGUGGAGUCAGCAAAAGGGAAAACCUAG